CUACACUCCUACGGGAGGCAGCAGUGGGGAAUAUUGAACAAUGGGCGCAAGCCUGAUCCAGCCAUGCCGCGUGAGUGAUGAAGGCCCUAGGGUUGUAAAGCUCUUUCACCGGUGAAGAUAAUGACGGUAACCGGAGAAGAAGCCCCGGCUAACUUCGUGCCAGCAGCCGCGGUAAUACGAAGGGGGCUAGCGUUGUUCGGAUUUACUGGGCGUAAAGCGCACGUAGGCGGACUAUUAAGUCAGGGGUGAAAUCCCGGGGCUCAACCCCGGAACUGCCUUUGAUACUGGUAGUCUUGAGUUCGAGAGAGGUGAGUGGAAUUCCGAGUGUAGAGGUGAAAUUCGUAGAUAUUCGGAGGAACACCAGUGGCGAAGGCGGCUCACUGGCUCGAUACUGACGCUGAGGUGCGAAAGCGUGGGGAGCAAACAGGAUUAGAUACCCGUGUAGUCCCAU
rnacentral:rRNA from 1 species